rnacentral:lncRNA from 1 species
GGUUCUGUGUGCGCUUUUACUCACCUUCGGAUUGUCCCCAGACCUGUGGGAAUGCCCACAGCAACAGGCACGUUUCAGCUCGAAGUCUAUUUUCUCUGAUGAUAGAAGAGCAACACCUGGUGGCUUCUCGAUCCAUUUGAGUGGAAUGAUUUUUCCCCAUGCUUUCAGGUUGCAUCUAUCUUUAAUUCUAAGUUGCCUGCAAAAUUGCUUUCUCCUUGAGAAGAGCAACCUGCGGCUUGAGCUGUUCAACGAGCUGACCCACCUCUGCGCCCUUUGACUCCAGUUUCUUCAGAACAUCAUCAUCGUUCACUGCCAUCUCUUCCCAGAACCGGCAGAAACCACGAAGCAGUGAAGCGCAGCUCUUGGGCAGCCUCAGCCAGGUGUCGGAAGGAACUUUUUUUUUUUUUUUUAAUAAAACCACAAUUAACUGACUACAGAA